rfam:Picea glauca, whole genome shotgun sequence.
GGGUGCGAUCAUACCAGCGUUAAUGCACAUGAUCCCAUCAAAACUCUGCAGUUAAGUGUGCUUGGUGUUGCACCCU